ensembl:lncRNA
CGGGCAUAUUUCUUAGUUGAUACGUAACAGGAUCACAGUGCAGAUGCAGUGCAGACACUAGGGCUACGAGAAGGCAGCACUGUGCCUGCUUUCAAGCCUCUAAGUCCACAGUCAGGAGAUGUCCUGAACUCCAUCAGGACGACCCAGCACAGUGGAUGCUCCAACGGCCCAAGAUCACAGCCUGCAGAGGGACCAACCCCAGUCAGGCUGGACUGCCUGGUCUCUUUGUUGGAUGAUCUACACUGUUCCCCAUCCACCCUGUGUGUCCACCAUGGGUUAUUGGUGCUGUGUGUCCAUCGUGGGUCAGUGGUGCUGUGUGUCCAUCGUGGGUUAUUGGGCUGUGUGUCCAUCCUGGGUUAGUGCUGCUGUGUGUCCAUCCUGGAUCAGCAGUGCUGUGUGUCCAUCCUGGGUCAGCAGUGCUGUGUGUCCAUCGUGGGUCAGUGGUGCUGUGUGUCCAUCGUGGGUCAGUGGUGCUGUGUGUCCAGUGUGGGUCAGCAGUGCUGUGUGUCCAGUGUGGGUCAGCAGUGGUGUGUGUCCACUGUGGGUCAGCGGUGCUGUGUGUCCACCAUGGGUCAGCAGGCAUCUCUGCUCAGGGCCUAAGGCUGAUUGACUGUCUGACACCUCAGCAUGAGGCUUCCACAUCUGAGAGAUAGAGCUGGAAGGUCUGAAGUUCUUUGCAUAUGAAGUGACAAAUAUCACUCCUUGCAGUCCAUUAUUGGCCACUAGAAGUCAAGUUUCUGGCCCCAGUUGAUGGCAGGAGGCUAGGAAACGAGGAGGAGCACAUGGGCAUUUUGGGAGCAAUAAAUGUUUCCCCAAAGCCCAGAUCUAAAGGAAGGUGUGGCAAGUCCCACUCUGGGGAGGGAGAAGUAGUAAUUUAGAGCAAAUCUUCAGGGAUUUGGAGAAACACAGUUCAGAAAACUACAAUUCGUGUAACCCUGUUCACAAGCAUGUGCUUCCGUGUGUUCAUUUGAGAUGUAGUGUUAGUCACUCAGUCGUGUCCCACUCUUUCCAACUCCAUGGACUGUAGCCCGCAGGCUCUUCUGUCCAUGGAAUUCUCCAGGCAGGCAUACUGGAGUGGGUAGCCAUUCCCUCCUCUAGGGGGUCUUCCUGACCCAAGGAUUGAAUCUGGGUCUCCCUCCAGGUGGAUUCUUUACUAUCUGAGCCACCAAGCAUGUAAGAUGUAAGAUAACUCCAGUUGUGAUGUGUCCGUAACUGAUAAAGAGAGUUUCUGCGAACCAUUUUCCAGAGCAGUGGGUUCUGUGGAUUUUAAAUUUUUGAAGAUGAUGCCAGGAUUUUGCAUAAUAUUGCUAGGAGGCUUUCCAUCAUGAAGAUAAACUUGCCCUAACUUCAUAAUUUUGCCUGGGAAGAGCCCUGCUUGUAUUCCUCCAGUCGGUCUCACCAAGCACUACAACUCUUUGCGGGGUGAUACUCCUGGAGAUAGACAGGUACACAGGUCUGAGAUAACAUCCUGUUGUGGAGAAACGAUCCCCAUGGAGUCAGAUCUUCUCUCUACUCACACCAGGGAACCAU